GACCAAGAAGUCUAACAUGUGUGCGAGUCAUUGGGUAUAUUGUUGAAACCUAAGGGCGUAAUUAAAAUAACUAUUUUAUGGGAUUACAAGUGAAUUAAUUUUCAUUUCUUCAUCCCGGGGCGUUCUAUACGAACAUGGUUCAAGCAAUUGGACCCUCUGUUCAAGAGCGUACCUUGAGCAUACAUGCUGUGACCCGAAAGAUGGUGAACUAUACCUGAUCAGAUCGAAGCCAGGAGAAAUUCUGGUGGAGGAUCGAAACAGUUCUGACGUGCAAAUCGAUUGUCAGAAUUGGGUAUAGGGGCGAAAGACCAAUCGAACCAUCUAGUAGCUGGUUCCCUCCGAAGUUUCCCUCAGGAUAGCUGGCGCAAAGAAUUAUAUUGUAUAUAAUCUUAUCUGGUAAAGCGAAUGAUUAGAGGCCUUGGGGCCGAAACGACCUCAACCUAUUCUCAAACUUUAAAUGGGUAAGAACCUCAUCUUUCUUGAUCUGAAGAUAUUGGGGUUUAGAUAUAUUGUGCCCAGUGGGCCACUUUUGGUAAGCAGAACUGGCGCUGUGGGAUGAACCAAACAUGAUGUUACGGCGCCUAAAUUAAUGACUCAUAUUGAUACCAUGAAAGGCGUUGGUUGCUUAAAACAGCAGGACGGUGGACAUGGAAGUCGUAAUCCGCUAAGGAGUGUGUAACAACUCACCUGCCGAAGCAACUAGCCCUUAAAAUGGAUGGCGCUCAAGUCAUAUGCCUAUACAUCAUCGCUAGAAUAAAAAUUGUUGACCGUUUGGCCAUCAUUAUGAAAUUCUAGUGAGUAGGAGGGUACAAUGGUGUGCGCAGAAGUGUUUGGCGUGAGCCUGCAUGAAGCCGCCAUUGGCACAGAUCUUGGUGGUAGUAGCAAAUAAUCGAAUGAGAUCUUGGAGGACUGAAGUGGAGAAGGGUUUCGUGUGAACAGUGGUUGAUCACGAGUUAGUCGGUCCUAAGCUUUAUGCGAAAGCUGUUUAAUUUAUGUUACACACAAAAAUUUUGUUGUACAUAAUUCAAUAAAAGCGAAAGGGAAUACGGUUCCAAUUCCGUAACCUGUUGAGUAUACGUUUGUUUAUUAAAAAUGGGUCUUAUUACACUCAUCCUGGCAACAGGAACGACCAUAGAGAAGCCUUCGAGAGAUACUGGAAGAGUUUUCUUUUCUGCUAAACAAGCGUAUCACCAUGGAAGUCUUUUAUAGAGAGAUAUGGUGAAUGGCUUGGAAGAGCAUGACAUUUACUGUUGUGUCAGUAUUUUCUCCUUGGACCUUGAAAAUCUAUGGUGGGGCCACGCAAACUUCUCAACAGACCGUACCGAUAUCCGCAGCCGGUCUCCAAGGUGAAGAUCUCUAGUCGA
rnacentral:rRNA from 1 species